UAAAGGGUGUUCGAGCCGUGCAUUUUUUCUCUGCAUGGGUGAACAAAUUUUGGUUUUCUUGGAUUAGUCACUGUGUAAGAAUGCAAAGAAGGAGAAACCAAGCAGCAAUGAUGUCUUUUCUUUAUAUUUAAGACAUGCAUAGUGAUUAAAAGUGCAGCCGAAAGAAAGGACAAAAGAUAUCAAGGUUUCCAGGAGGCCCUUUCAAAGCCGCAGUUACAACUCAAGUGUGAGACCUGGCUGGGAUUUUACUGCUUUAAACAUGUUCCGCUUCGACUCUAAAGGCACGGCUGCUCUUCAUGCAGUGGCGGCAGUGGUGUUUCAGGCAAGGAGGGUGUUUGCUCUCAGCCCUUGGCUUUUGUGAGGAGAAAACCCCUGGUUUUGGUAGAAAGCACGCUUACACCAAGGGAAGCCUGAGCCUCAUUGGGCUGAAGAUGAAGCUUCACCCUUGUGAAGGUUCUUGAGGGCCUUUGGAGGUUGUUGGUGGCCAUGUCCUGGGGCCAAGUGCCAUCUGAGACGACAUGAGAAAGAGGCAGUGACUGACCGGGGACGAGUGAGCAGUGUCAUCAGGAUUCACUGUGCGAAGGAGGAUUUGGCAGCAUCUGCAAGGAGCCAUCUGGUUGGAGCCAGUUUUGCGGUUACUGGCUGAAGUAACUCGGCAUUCUGGGAGAAAGGUGAAGAGUACACGGU